GACGUAGGGCGCGAGCGUUGUCCGGAUUUAUUGGGCGUAAAGAGCUCGUAGGCGGCUUGUUGCGUCGGCUGUGAAAUCCCGUGGCUUAACUGCGGGCUUGCAGCUGAUACGGGCGGGCUGGAGUUCGGUAGGGGAGACUGGAAUUCCUGGUGUAGCGGUGAAAUGCGCAGAUAUCAGGAGGAACACCAAUAGCGAAGGCAGCUCGCUGGGACGUUACUGACACUGAGGCGCGAAAGCGUGGGGAGCGAACAGG
rnacentral:rRNA from 1 species